rnacentral:rRNA from 1 species
GGGGGGGGGGGGGGGGGGGGUGGUGGGUGGGGGGCGGGGGGGGGGGCGGGGAGCUUGCUUCUCUGGUGGUAGGGGGGGGCGGGGGCGUGGCGCGUGGAUCACCUGCCUCUAAGACUGGGGUGCGUUCGGGAAACCGGCGCGAAGACCGGAAACUCUGUUGAACCGCAUGGUUCAAAAUUGCAAGACGGUCUUUCUGGCACUCAUAGGCUUAUCCGCGCUGCAUUAGCUAUUUGGUAAGGUAACGGGUUACCAAGGCAACGAUGCAUAGCCGACCUGAGAGGGUGAUCGGCCACACUGGAACUGAGACACGGUCCAGACUCCUACGGGAGGCAGCAGUAGGGAAUCUUCCGCAAUGGGCGAAAGCCUGACGGAGCAACGCCGCGUGAGUGAUGAAGGUCUUCGGAUCGUAAAACUCUGUUAUUAGGGAAGAACAUAUGUGUAAGUAACUGUGCACAUCUUGACGGUACCUAAUCAGAAAGCCACGGCUAACUACGUG